rnacentral:rRNA from 1 species
UACAGAGGUCUCAAGCGUUGUUCGGAUUCAUUGGGCGUAAAGGGUGCGUAGGUGGCGCCAUAAGUCAGGUGUAAAAUCUCGGGGCUUAACUCCGAAACUGCAUUUGAUACUGUGGUGCUUGAGGACUGGAGAGGAGACUGGAAUUCACGGUGUAGCAGUGAAAUGCGUAGAUAUCGUGAGGAAGACCAGUGGCGAAGGCGGGUCUCUGGACAGUUCCUGACACUGAGGCACGAAGGCCAGGGGAGCAAACGGG